AGAUUGUACAGGCAUCGUGUGCCUCAACGGAGGAACGCUGGAUGGAAACACCUGCUCCUGCACGUGCACCGACACAUGGGAAGGUGUUACGUGCAGUCAAAAAAAAAUGCCGAGAGGACAUGAGACGGUGCAGCACGGUACUGCCGGAAUGGUGUGAUUAUUACCCCAUGGUCAGCGCCUACUGCCCCAGAAGAUGCGGACUUUGCUGACAGCUGGAAGAUGUUCUCAAACGUGCCUGUGUGACGACAAAUUAAACCAGAUGCAAAAAAUAUA